CUCUCGGCUGUUUUUUGGGUGUGUGUCGGGCUGUGAGUUGAAAAGCUACAGCCGGCUGUGUGGGUAAACCAACCAUGUGUGAAAAGUGGUCCAUAAUGUAAUGCUUCAGAGCGUCUUCGUGCAAACAUUGUCGUGUCUGCCGUGGUACAGUGGGACUUCUGCUCAUGAACCUGUGUGCACAGCGUCUGCAAAUCGGCGCUGUACUAAGUAACUUCAUCUUUACACAAAAAUGUAAGCUGUCAUCUGUGAAGCGUGAGCGGUGUUUGUUUUUACCAUAGUUCAUGGUAGAGAAUGGCUGCUCUUCUGAGUUUUGCCCUAAGCAGCCGUAUGAAUGGCAAACUACACUGAUUACCAGCGGCAUAGGCACACUUAAAAUUUCUUCUGAAAUUUUCGCUUUCUAGUUGUGUGGAUGCCUGAAAGGGCAUCCACACUAUUGAGUUCCUGUUUCUCUUUAUUCUUUAUUCCACUAUUUUCUAGUUGCUUCCGUACACUUUUUGGCACUUAACUACUCAUUCAGUUUUCAACCGAUUUUCUCCGUUCAAACUCUAAACUGUUCUGCUAUUUCUGCUAAUGCCGGCAAUGACUUUUGGUGUUUAUUACUAUUAUACUUUUUAAAAUAUUACACUUUUUUCCUUUAAUUUGUCCCAUUGAAAUGAAUGGGAAACUUCCACAAUUCUGCUAAAAUUUGAUUGUUUUUGAAACUUAACUACAUUCUCAUACUUUCACCUAGAAACUCCAUUCAAACUUUAAAAUGUUCUCAGAUUAUUGGGCUAUUCCUGUCUGAUUCAGUUUUUUCAGAUCUUCUACCGUUUUAAUCUUAUCUCUCUUUAAGUUUUCAGUUGCACAACUUCUUGCUACUUGAUUAAUUUUCACUCAACUCCCACAAAUUAUACAUCAAAACGUAGGUAUUUUUGCUGGCUUUCAGAAAAUGUCACCAUCAUUGUUGUGAGAUUUAUAGAAUUUUCGCAAAUAUCCUCAGACCAACACAAAGUCGGAAAACUCUCCAUAGAAAGUCAAUGGAGAGUUUGUUCAAAAUCAUCGCUUGAUUUCUGUAAUGAGAGGCAUAUUCGAAUCGUCAUAUCUCCUUAACGAAGCGAAGUUAAAACAUGAGGCUUCUCCCCGUAUAUCUUCAGACACUCCUGACGCUCACAAUUCAAGAAUUUCUUUCUCACCUAUUACCGUUCUGAAAUGAGUUAGACUUGUUUGAGGGUAGGAAAUUCGUCCUUCGCUCAGAUUUCUUCAGCUUUCAAACUCUGGAAAUGAACCACUAUUUUCUCUCGUCAUAUCUUUUUGAUGGAUUUCCACAGAGACCUGAAAAUUUCCAUGACUGUUCACCAAAGCCUGCUGUCUCUUACGGUGAAAGAAUGAUAUCGAUACUCCAAAUAGAUUUAGAGUUAGAAAGCGUUGUUUGAGGGCAAGUCAAGGCAGUUUUCGCUUGCCUCUACUCAGUUAUGGUGCAUUACAAGUCAAAUAUCUUUAAUAAUUCAUAUUUUAAUGAUAAAUUGUCAACACUUGAAGAUUCCCCCAUCUCUUCUGAACAAAACGGUGUAAGAAUGACCCCUGCUGUCUCUUACGGUGAAAGAAUGAUAUUGAUACUCCAAAUAGAUUUAGAGUUAGAAAGCGUUGUUUGAGGGGAGGUCAAGGCAGUUUUUGCUUCGCCUUUACUCAGUUAUGGUGCAUUACAAGUCAAAUAUCUUUAAAUAUCUUUAAUAGUGUUGAUAAAUUGUCAACACUGGAAGAUUCCCCCAUCUCUUCUGAACAAAACGGUGUAAGAAUGACCGUUCUAGCCCCUACGGUUAGGAAAUUAUGGCCAUUUGUUUGAGAGGAAUCCUCACUAUGAGAAAUACACUGCAGAAUUCCUGUCUCUCUCUGUGCUGUGUGUACAAAGCCUGCACCUGUUUUGGCGGGAAAAA
ensembl:lncRNA